GCUGCGGGCGGGCCCGCCGCUGCACCACCACCCGCCCGAUUUCCUAGAGAACCUCCGUGAGACUCAACGCCAGAGGCUCCAGCCGCGCACUCCACCCCCAUUACCCCCCAAACCGGCGCAACGCACCGCGCCCACAGUCGUCUGAGCCCCAGCGACCGCCCAGCUGUGGGCGUGGGAUACACACACCGUGGGAAACGGACAGCUUAGGAGCUGGCCUCGUAGCCAAGAGGAAUGUACUCUAUAUGCAGGGUCGGAUUUAGGGAGGGGCAUCCGAUGCCAAUGCCCCGGGGCCUCGACAAAAGAAGGACUACCAUAACAAACUUCAGAAAACAAAAACUUUCAACUUUCGACGAGUACAACUACGAACAAUAAUAUUGUUUUUAAAUAUAAAAAAGAAACAUCUUUUAAUAAAGAAACUCGUGUGAAAAA